rnacentral:rRNA from 1 species
UACGUAGGGUGCGAGCGUUGUCCGGAAUUAUUGGGCGUAAAGAGCUCGUAGGCGGUGUGUCGCGUCGGUCGUGAAAACUUGGGGCUUAACCCUGAGCUUGCGGUCGAUACGGGCAUCACUGGAGUUCGGGCAGGGGGGACUGGAAUACUUGGUGUAGCAAGUGAAUGCGUAGAUAUCAAGUGGAACACCAGUGGCGAAGGCGAGUCCCUGGAAACUCCUGACACUGAGGCACGAAAGCUAGGGGAGCAAACAGGAGUUAGAAAACCC